CUCAAGCACGUUUCAGCGUUAUUUUAUUUGAUUUUCUUUGCCGGCCGCAACCAGUGAAAUAAACACGGGGGAGAAAGUUGGUUAGGAUGAGCGCUGAGCCAAAAAGCAAUUCGCUUCGGUGGGAGACCAAAGGUGGGAAUCUGUUUCCUGCACCUCUGCGAGAAGGACGGCACCGCCGCAGCCGGAGGGAACGACCCCACGCGGUACGAGCAGCGGAGAGGAGUGGGACAUCUCCUCCAUCAUCUGCUGCCACGUGGAAAACGCCUCUCCCCGCAGUUUGCAUUGAGUUAUGGCUGCGUUCGAUGCGGGGUGGGAGUGGGGGGCUGUACACUCUGCUGCCUUGCAGGUAGAAAUUGCGCGGUUGGGUUCUGCCGCCGCUCUCCACCGAGGUCUGUCCGCAGGCGCAGGGCGAGGGCGAUUCGGUGUCUUCAGCAGAGGCUGAGCGGAGUGAAUGAGAUGAGAAAACAAAACCAACGACAGCAAAACACAGAGGAGGGCGAAUCAUUAAGAGUCGGAGUGGGAGAAGAGAAAAGUAAAAGUGAAAAAAAAAAAAUAAUCGCCAAGAACCCAAUUUCCAGAGAGGACGGGACAGACUCCAGUUCCUCAGUUGCCAUUUGGCAGACUCACAUGAGAGGAAAGAAAGAUAAGAAGAAUCAUACUGAAUGGUGGGGUAGGGGUGGGGGGCAGCGCUGUGCUUUAGGCAGCUCAGCCUUUGGGGACCCCUCGUGGCGUGGGUGGCGGGGAGCGGCCGCUCUCCAUCCUUCGCCCCUCCUCACGUCCCUCACUUUGGGGGCAGUCACUCCUAAGGCAAAGGCCGAGGAGUGGCACCCCGACCGCGGGCUCCCCCCUGGGGUUCGGGCAAGCGGUGCUCGGCCCCCCCCCCCGGGGUUUUCCAAGACUUCGCCCCACUCUCAGAGCCAAACGCUGCUGCUCCCUGCGGGGCUUUUCUUCUCUCUCUCCCCCCUCCAGCAGCCCCGGGCAGGGGUGCGGCCCCUCCGCGGGACACACAUCAGCCUCGCUGCCCCCAGAUGCUUCCUUGUCGCUCUGCACAACGCAAACUCCGGAGGGAAAUCUCCUCCGGGACCUCGCAUCCCCUGCUCCGGGCGGCGCUUUGGCACCGAAGUUCCCCUUUCGCACCUCUGCGCACCUCGACGUGGGCACCGGGACAGGGCUGUGCCGCUCUCCCAAGCCUCGUGGUGCCGGGGGGGGGGGGGGGAAGGGGGGUGAGGGGGGGCACACCCGAGCGUCCCCCUCCCCACCCGCAGCCUCCUCUCUCCCCUUUCUUGGAAAGCGUGUUUAAAGCGGCAUCUGAAACACAAUUAAUUGUAACUGAUUAACAUGGAUUAGUUUGGCCUCCGAAGCACUUUAAGUCAAUUCAGCAGCCAUAAUAAUAAUUAAUUCAUUAAUAAGGACUAUCGGUGCCUCCGCACCAGCGCCGGGAAAAGUUUCGCCGCCGAGCAGAAGUACAGGUGGCGGCGAGAGCUCAAACGAAAACAUUUGCAUGCAACUUUUUAACCAGAAGGGAAAGCACUUUGGUUCUAUGCGGAGACAUGUGUCUCACACAUUUCCCCCCUCCUUCUUUUUUUUUUCUUUUUUUUUUUUUUCUUUUUGCUUUUUGUAAACUAUGUAAGAAUAAACAUUACAGCUCCGGGCUUUUAAUUUCUCCAGAUGGAAUCGUAAAGUACCUUAGUCGGGUUUUUCAUACGGCACAAUUGAGGACACAUGUCUGCUUUUCCCAGCGCGGACCGAGAAGCGACUCAAUUUGAAGGCACGCCGCCACCGCACCGCGCUUCGGAUGGCGAACUGCAACGAGUUCGUUCUGUAAGAGCCGCUGGGAGCCCCGCUCCGCGCUCCCUCCCUCGGCCCGAGCGCAGCCCUACGCUGACCCCGUAGGCGGAGGGGAGCCCCGACGGGACGGGCGAGCCCCGUGCUGCUCGGGGGGUGACGAUUCCUCCUGCCCCCCCUCCCCGGGGAUGAAGAGAGCCCCGCAGCCCACAUGCACACACGAGGGGGGGGGGGGGGUGCAGGGAGGAGCCCCCAGACCCUCCUCCUGUCCGCCCCUCAGAGCCACGCGUAGCCGGGCUGAGCGGCACCAGAGUGCGGAAAACCGAGAGACGAGGAAAUAAACGACGAGACGUCCGGCCCUAAAGAGCGUUAUCACUGCUGCCAUAGGAAGGGGGCUGCUCAGCGCCCCGCCUGGCACCAGCAUCCCUCCCCCCCCUCCCAGCCCCCGGUACUGACUUACAUGGGGCGAUGGCACGGGGUUCCCCGCUGGGGCCAUUGCAGAGAGCGGUGAUUUACGCCCCAGCCGUCCCGCUCCGGCCCCGCGUCAUCUGCGCGCUGCAGACGAACAGCGUUCAAUAUGCAGAAGGAGCCGUGCCUUUUCUUAAAGGAGAACUCACCCCGGCGGAAAGUUCGCAGCCGAACGGAGGGCACGGGAGGGGUGUGUGCGGGUUCUGCCCUGAGCCACGGAGCUGGGCGGCGGGGCGGGGAGAGGGGCGGCCGGGGGGCACCGCCGGGACCGUUUGGACUGUGGCACCGCCGAAGUCCCCGACCGCGGGGCUCCCAAAACCCCCACCCCGAACAAACAAGCGAACGCCGAGGGUACGCGCGGAACUGAUGAGAACGACAACCGGCAGAGGCCCGACGCGCUCCGCAGACGGCCCACGCAGCUUUGGGAUAGAAGAAGUGAGGAGGAGGCCGUCCCACGUCCCCACCUCACCGCCGGGGCUCUGCUCGCCCCGUCCCCGCACUGCCCCGGCUCCCCGGGACCGAGCCCCGACUGCGCGGUGCGAGCGGCCCCGGGCGAGCCCCGUGGGGAAGAGGCAUCGCGCUGCCGGACGCCGCCGCUCCCCCGCUUCGGACAAUUCAACUACAUUUUUUUUUCCUACUCCAUAUUUUUUUUUUAACACGUGGUUGGAAAGUCUGUAGCGCCAUCUAACGGGAGGCGGAGGCUGUUCCGUGCCGUGCCGUGCCGUGCCGC
ensembl:lncRNA